rnacentral:misc_RNA from 1 species
GUAGGUGAACCUGCGGAAGGAUCAUUACAGUUAUUACUUUCUACCAGCGCUUAAUUGCGCGGUGGAAAAUAACCCAUACACACAGUGUUUUUUGUUUAUUACAAGAACUAUUGCUUUGGCUUGGCGCAAGUCGGGCCAGAGGUUACUACGUAAACUUCAAUUUUUAAUUGAAUUGUUAUUUUAAUACAGUUGUCAAUUUGUUUGAUUAAAUUCAAAAAUAAUCUUCAAAACGUUCAACAACGGAUCUCUUGGUUCUC